rnacentral:rRNA from 1 species
CCGGAGGAAAAGAAACUAACAAGGAUUCCCCUAGUAACGGCGAGUGAAGCGGGAAGAGCUCAAAUUUGAAAUCUGGUAGCCUUCGGUUGCCCGAGUUGUAAUCUAGAGAAAUGUUUUCCGUGCCGGCCCAUGUACAAGUCCCUUGGAACAGGGCGUCAUAGAGGGUGAGAAUCCCGUCCUUGACAUGGACCCCCGGUGCUUUGUGAUACAUUUUCAACGAGUCGAGUUGUUUGGGAAUGCAGCUCAAAAUGGGUGGUGAAUUCCAUCUAAAGCUAAAUAUUGGCGAGAGACCGAUAGCGAACAAGUACCGUGAGGGAAAGAUGAAAAGCACUUUGGAAAGAGAGUUAAACAGUACGUGAAAUUGUUGAAAGGGAAACGAUUGAAGUCAGUCAUGCUCUUUGGUAUUUAUAUCAUUGAGUGGGGUCAACAUCAGUUUUGAUCGAUGGAUAAAGGCACUAGGAAGGUAGCACUCUCGGGUGAACUUAUAGCCUAGCGUCAUAUACAUUGAUUGGGACUGAGGAACGCAGCAUGCCUUUAUGGCCGGGAUUCGUCCACGUACAUGCUUAGGAUGUUGACAUAAUGGCUUUAAACGACCCGUCUUGAAAAUGG